GGGUGUAACUCAGUCAGGCCAGAGUGCUCGGUUCGGAUCCGAGUCGGCGCUGGUUCGAAUCCAGCCACCCUGACCA
rnacentral:tRNA from 1 species